UACGUAGGGUGCGAGCGUUGUCCGGAAUUAUUGGGCGUAAAGAGCUCGUAGGCGGUCUGUCGCGUCGAUCGUGAAAACUUGGGGCUUAACCCUGAGCUUGCGGUCGAUACGGGCAUGACUGGAGUUCGGCAGGGGAGACUGGAAUUCCUGGUGUAGCGGUGAAAUGCGCAGAUAUCAGGAGGAACACCGGUGGCGAAGGCGGGUCUCUGGGCCGAUACUGACGCUGAGGCGCGACAGCGUGGGGAGCAAACAGG
rnacentral:rRNA from 1 species